AGUGAACGCUGGCGGUAGGCCUAACACAUGCAAGUCGAACGGCAGCACAGUAAGAGCUUGCUCUUACUGGUGGCGAGUGGCGGACGGGUGAGGAAUACAUCGGAAUCUACUUUUUCGUGGGGGAUAACGUAGGGAAACUUACGCUAAUACCGCAUACUACCUACGGGUGAAAGCAGGGGUUCUUCGGACCUUUCGCGAUUGAAUGAGCCGAUGUCGGAUUCGCUAGGUGGCUGGGUAAAGGCCCACCAAGGCGACGAUCCGUAGCUGGUCUGAGAGGAUGAUCAGCCACACUGGAACUGAGACACGGUCCAGACUCCUACGGGAGGCAGCAGUGGGGAAUCUUUGACAAUGGGCGCAAGCCUGAUCCAGCCAUACCGCGUGGGUGAAGAAGGCCUUCGGGUUGUAAAGCCCUUUUGUUGGGAAAGAAAAGCAGCAGGUUAAUACCCCGCUGUUCUGACGGUACCCAAAGAAUAAGCACCGGCUAACUUCGUG
rnacentral:rRNA from 1 species